UUACGGCCAUUUCUCGUUGAAACACCGGUUCUCACACGAUCACCGUCUUAGUUAAGCAGUAUCGAGCUGGUCAAUACCUUCAUGGGUAACCACUUGGGAAUACCAUGUGCUGAAAG